AUCCCGGCCCGCGUCUUUGGUGCCGUCGUGAGGUCACGGCGGCUCUAGGGAACCCGGUGCGAAUCCGGGACUGCCCCGCAGCGGUAUGCAGGAACGACCGCCGUCAUGUGAAGCACUGGCCCUCCACGGGGCUGGGAAGCGACGGCCAGUAGAAGGGUGCCUGGAAGGCACCCGCGCCUGUGAGUCCGAAAACCUGCCAAGGACCCGUGCCUCCG
rnacentral:ncRNA from 2 species